UAAUCAAUUUAAUCAACAUCUCUAACAUACAAUAACACUAGUUUGGCAGCAAAUGUGAGAUUGUCUUAAAUACUAAUAACAUUUAACUAAUAGGAUAAAUACUGGCAAAUCACAACAAUAACAGAUGGUUUAAUAACCUAAUUAGUAACAAGAGGAAUGUCUGGUUAAUUAAACCUUAUUAUACUAUGGUUUUAUUGCACAUCACGCUUAUUAUAUUCUACACUUAUACUAAAACAAAUUGCAUCUUCACCCAACCUCCAAUUUGAGAAUCGAUGGAAAAAAUAUAAUUUAAAUGUACCUAGGUACAUACAUGCUUGAAUUACAACUGUAGUAGAGAGUAAUAGCAGAGAUUCAAUAUUCAUUUAUUUAUUUAUUUCAUGACUAGAAGAUUUAACACUGUGUUUAACAGGAGAAUCUAAAGCUAGGAAUGAGGCGUUACAUAGUACAUAAUAGAUACAAAAUUGAACCAGGGACUGUAUUGAUAUUUCCAUUUUUAUUAUAUUAAAAUGAAAUUCAUUUAUUCUAGAAGAUUUAGCUAAAUAACCGUUUGAGGUAUAUUCACUGAAUGGGAUUAAAAUAUAGACCAAAACGAAAAGACGGUGAAGUUUUUUUUAAAUCCUUCAAGAAUUGGAACUGAAAAACAUAGUAGGUGCUGUGACCCGUUCUAGUUUCAACCACAAUGGUUCUGGUACACUAGCGCGAAAAGACACUAGCGUGAACGGACGUUAACGCGAAAGACAUUUGCGCGAACGGAUGUUAGAGCGAAAGACAUUUGCGCGAAAAGACAUGAGCGUGAAAGACACUAGCGCGAAGGACAUUUGCGCGAAAACAGUUUUCGCGUUACUAAUGGUAAUUUUCAAUGUAAAAAGAAAGUAUAACAACACCACAUUCGUUCAGGAAGUGGUUACGCCGCUCGCCGCUAGAUGGCGCUAG